rnacentral:rRNA from 1 species
AAAAUUUAAUUUUUUUUAUGUUAACCUAACACAAGAGCAUUUCAAGUAAGAUUAAAAGAAAAAGAAGGAACUCGGCAAAUAUUAACCUCGCCUGUUUACCAAAAACAUCGCCUCUUGCCCCAAUAUAAGAGGUCCAGCCUGCCCAGUGACUCUGUUCAACGGCCGCGGUAUCCUAACCGUGCGAAGGUAGCGUAAUCACUUGUUCUUUAAAUGAGGACUAGUAUGAACGGCACCACGAGGGUUAUACUGUCUCCUUUUUCCAAUCAGUGAAACUAAUCCCCCCGUGAAGAAGCGGGGAUGAACAUAUAAGACGAGAAGACCCUAUGGAGCUUUAAACUCAAUAACACUUGCUUUUAAACAUAAAUACUUCAGAGUAAUAAACACCCAUUACGGCCUCCUGAUUAUUAGUUUUAGGUUGGGGUGACCGCGGAGCAAAAAACAACCUCCACAUUGAACGGGGAACAUCCCCUGAGCCACGAGCCACAACUCUAUGCACCAAUAAAUUGACAUCUCUUGACCCAAUAUAUUGAUCAACG